rnacentral:rRNA from 1 species
GACGAACGCUGGCGGCGCGCCUAACACAUGCAAGUCGAACGGAGUUACAUUGAAAGCUUGCUGGAUAUGUAACUUAGUGGCGGACGGGUGGGUAACACGUGAGUAAUCUGCCUUCCAGAGGGGAAUAACGUUUGGAAACGAACGCUAAUACCGCAUAACGUACGGUCCUCACAUGGGGACUGUACCAAAGAUUUUAUCGCUGGAAGAUGAGCUCGCGGCCGAUUAGGUAGUUGGUGAGAUAACAGCCCACCAAGCCGACGAUCUUUAGCUGGUCUGAGAGGAUGAUCAGCCACACUGGGACUGAGACACGGCCCAG